UUCAUUUUGCUUGCAAGUGAAGAUGGCGACCGGCGCACGGGUGAGUAACACGUAUCCAACCUGCCGAUAACUCGGGGAUAGCCUUUCGAAAGAAAGAUUAAUAUCCGAUGGUAUAUCAAUCCCGCAUGAGAUUGAUAUUAAAGAAUUUCGGUUAUCGAUGGGGAUGCGUUCCAUUAGUUUGUUGGCGGGGUAACGGCCCACCAAGACUACGAUGGAUAGGGGUUCUGAGAGGAAGGUCCCCCACAUUGGAACUGAGACACGGUCCAAACUCCUACGGGAGGCAGCAGUGAGGAAUAUUGGUCAAUGGACGUAAGUCUGAACCAGCCAAGUAGCGUGAAGGAUGACUGCCCUAUGGGUUGUAAACUUCUUUUAUAUGGGAAUAAAGUAUUCCACGUGUGGGAUUUUGUAUGUACCAUAUGAAUAAGGAUCGGCUAACUCCGUGCCAGCAGUCGCGGUAAUACGGAGGAUCCGAGCGUUAUCCGGAUUUAUUGGGUUUAAAGGGAGCGUAGGUGGAUUGUUAAGUCAGUUGUGAAAGUUUGCGGCUCAACCGUAAAAUUGCAGUUGAAACUGGCAGUCUUGAGUACAGUAGAGGUGGGCGGAAUUCGUGGUGUAGCGGUGAAAUGCUUAGAUAUCACGAAGAACUCCGAUUGCGAAGGCAGCUCACUAGACUGUCACUGACACUGAUGCUCGAAAGUGUGGGUAUCAAACAGGAUUAGAUACCCUGGUAGUCCACACAGUAAACGAUGAAUACUCGCUGUUUGCGAUAUACAGUAAGCGGCCAAGC
rnacentral:rRNA from 1 species